UUGAGCUACUCCCACCAUCGCCAAUUGGUUUUGGGGUGGAACCUCAACUUUCUUCAUGGUAUCAGAGCGGGUUAGCCCACAUGCGAAAGCCCAACAGCCACACGUGCUCCAUGUCACCCAAUAUGUGUUGUCCAUGUGCUAAGCUUGAAAGUUCGCCACACAUGUGGGGCCGUGUGAGAAUGUGAAGGUAAAAAGUCCCACAUUGGAAAGCUGAGAAACCUAGCAAGAACUUAUAAGGAGUUGAUGGAUGAUAAUGGAAAAGCGAUUGAAGACCCUUGCUUCAAAGCAUGUUGAUACCAAGUUCAUCAAGCUGGAUGCAGAGUUCAGUAUAAACUUCAAUAUGGUCUUGUGUUCUUAUAAUUGGUGCCACUUUUCGUGUUUGCUCGGAAUGCGCCGUUCUUCGUCACCAAGUUAGGAGUCAAAACUUUGCCUUGUGUCAUAAUCUUCAGGUUGGUUGGAUUUCAAGAUAUGGGAGGAAAAGAUGAGUUCAGCACAAGGGCACUUGAGGUUGUAAUAAUCAAGAAAGGUAUAAUUGGUGAGAAGAAGGGUGAGGAUGAUGAAGAUGAUGGAUAUCAUGAAGGUAGUCGCAGGACGGUGAGAUCCUCUGUGAAUCUCGAUGAUUCUGAUUCAGACUGGAAAAAAAAGGAAGAAGAAUAAGAAAGUGAUACCUCAGGACAGUGAGAUCCUCUGUGAAUCUUGAUGAUUCUGAUUCAGACUGACAAAA